UGGGGAAUAUUGCACAAUGGGCGCAAGCCUGAUGCAGCCAUGCCGCGUGUGUGAAGAAGGCCUUCGGGUUGUAAAGCACUUUCAGCGGGGAGGAAGGCGUUAAGGUUAAUAACCUUGGCGAUUGACGUUACCCGCAGAAGAAGCACCGGCUAACUCCGUGCCAGCAGCCGCGGUAAUACGGAGGGUGCAAGCGUUAAUCGGAAUUACUGGGCGUAAAGCGCACGCAGGCGGUCUGUCAAGUCGGAUGUGAAAUCCCCGGGCUCAACCUGGGAACUGCAUUCGAAACUGGCAGGAUAGAGUCUUGUAGAGGGGGGUAGAAUUCCAGGUGUAGCGGUGAAAUGCGUAGAGAUCUGGAGGAAUAACGGUGGCGAAGGCGGCCCCCUGGACAAAGACUGACGCUCAGGUGCGAAAGCGUGGGGAGCAAACAGG
rnacentral:rRNA from 1 species